rnacentral:rRNA from 1 species
UAAAAUUUAUUAAAUCAUAAUUAAUUCUUCUUAUAAAUUUUAAUUAAAUUAAAAUUUCACCUAAUAAUCUAAUAUUUAAAUUAAUUUAUUUAAUUAUUUAUUAAUAUCUAAUAAAAUUUAAUUUAAUUUUUGUAUAACCGCAACUGCUGGCACAAAAUUUGUUAUUAAUUUCUAUAUUACUAAAUCUUAAUUUCUUAAAUUUUUAAUAUUAAUUACUAUUUUCAUAAAUUAAAUAUUUUUAAAAUAAUUAAAAUU